rnacentral:rRNA from 1 species
UACGGGGGGGCAAGCGUUGUUCGGAAUUACUGGGCGUAAAGGGCUCGUAGGUGGCCAACUAAGUCAUGCGUGAAAUCCCUCGGCUUAACCGAGGAACUGCCCUCCAAACUGCUUGGCUUGAGUCCGGGAGAGGUGAGUGGAAUUCCCAGUGUAGCGGUGAAAUGCGUAGAUAUUGGGAGGAACACCAGUGGCGAAGGCGGCUCACUGGACCGGAACUGACGCUGAGGCGCGAAAGCGUGGGGAGCAAACGGG